CCUGUCACCGCUCCGAGCCGCCGCACUGUCACUUGUACAUUGCACUCAGCAAGGGCCGCUAAUGCACAGAGACACCAACCUGGCACAAUGGUCUGAUUAAUCGUGAGCGCUUGCAGUUAUGUGGCGCAGAAGAUCGGAGGCCUGUGUCGAAAAAAGGAAGAAGAUGAAGCCCCGGUCCCGUUCUCCUGCCCAAUAGCAGCAAAGCCAAAAUCCAAUGGAUCCCCCGAACAGAUAACAACAGUGAAUUCAGAAACCCAAAAACAAAAUGUCUCCAAAGCAGCUCCACCAGCCAAGCAAUGCCGAUCCUGAGGGUAGUGGAACCCAGUCACUAAGGCUGGGCAAGAAGAACACUUUAACCUCCUAAAUUUGCAUCUAUGCUCCUUAACCCCCAUCAUUUGUUCCAGUUUAGAACCCCUGGGUUCAGAAAAUUCACUUUUUCUGUUGGUGACGUUACCUGUUGCUCCAUUUUUAGAAGUUUAGGUUACCUUUUUCCGACCUUUUCAGCUUGAAAUUCGGCAAUGCUCCAAGAGACCGUCAAUUAAUCCCAUGACACCUGUGAGAUAAUAAUUCUUGCAUUCAAGAUAUUUCAAAAACAAAAUUUCCCCAAAGAAGAUCCACCAGCCAAGCCAUGCAGAUCCUAAGGAUAACUUUAGGUUACCGUUUCUGAACUUUCCAGCUUGAAAUUUGGCAACGCUCCAAGAGACGUCAAUUAGUCUUAUGUCACCGGUGAGAUAAUAAUCGUUGCCUUCAAGAUAUUUCAAGACCCUAAGGUAGUGGGACCAGUCACUGGGGCUGGGUAAGAAGAACACUUUAACCUUUUAAAUUUGGAACCAUGCUCCUCAAUUGCCAUCCUUUGCUCCAAUUUAGAACCCAAUGGCUUUGGAAACUUCCCUUUCUCUGCUGGUAAUGGUACCUGUUGCUCCAUUUUGAGAAUUUUAGGUUACCUCUUCUGACCUUUUCCAGCUUGAAAUUUGGCAAAGCUCCCAGAGACGUCAAUUAAUCCCAUGUCACUGGUGAGAUAAUGAUCAUUGCCUUCAAGAUAUUUCAAGACCCGUGGGUAGUGGCUAGGUCACUAGGGCUGGGAAAGAACACUUGAACCUCCUGAAUUUGGACUAAUGCUCCUCAAUCUCUGUUCUUUGUUCCAGGUUAGAACCAGAUGGCUUCGGAAAAUUCACUUUCUCUGUUGUUGAUGGUACCUGUUGCUCCAUUUUUAGAACUUUAGGUUACCUUUUGCAACUUUCAGUAAUUCGGCAACACUUCCGGAGACAUCAAUUAAUCUCAUGUCACCAGUUAGUUCAUGAUCAUUGCCUUCAAGAUAUUUCAAGACCUGAGGGUAAUGGGCAUUAGGGCUGAGAAAGAAGAAAACUUUAAUCUCCUACAUUUUGUAAUCCUAAACCUCCGUCCUUUGUUUCAGGUUAACACCUGCUGGCUUCGGAAAAUUCAAUUUCUUCUGGUGACGGUAUCUGUUGCUCCAUUUAUAGAACUUCAGGUUACCUUUUUCGACCUUUUGCAGCUUGAAAUUCAGCAAAGCUCCCAGAGAAAUCAAAUAAGCCCCUGUUAUCGGUGAGAAAAAUGAUCAUUGCCUACAAAAUAUUUCAAGACCUGAGAGUAGUGGGACCGGGUCACUAGGUCUUGGGAAGAAGAAAACUUUAACCUCCUAAAUUUUGUAAUCCUCAACCUCCUUCCAUUGUUCCAGGUUAAAACCUGCUGGCUUUGGAAAAUGUAAUUUUUCUGCUGGUGACGGUACCUGUUGCUCUAUUUUACGAGCUUCAGGUUACCUUUUCUGACCUUUUCCAGCUUAAAAAUUCAGCAACGCUCCCAGAGACGUCAAAUAAUCCCCUGUCACUGGUGAGAAAAAUGAUCAUUGCC